rnacentral:rRNA from 1 species
GUGAACGCUGGCGGUAGGCCUAACACAUGCAAGUCGAACGGCAGCACAGUAAGAGCUUGCUCUUACGGGUGGCGAGUGGUGGACGGGUGAGGAAUACAUCGGAAUCUACUUUUUCGUGGGGGAUAACGUAGGGAAACUUACGCUAAUACCGCAUACGACCUACGGGUGAAAGCAGGGGAUCUUCGGACCUUGCGCGAUUGAAUGAGCCGAUGUCGGAUUAGCUAGUUGGCGGGGUAAAGGCCCACCAAGGCGACGAUCCGUAGCUGGUCUGAGAGGAUGAUCAGCCACACUGGAACUGAGACACGGUCCAGACUCCUACGGGAGGCAGCAGUGGGGAAUAUUGGACAAUGGGCGCAAGCCUGAUCCAGCCAUACCGCGUGGGUGAAGAAGGCCUUCGGGUUGUAAAGCCCUUUUGUUGGGAAAGAAAAGCAGCAGGUUAAUACCCCGCUGUUCUGACGGUACCCAAAGAAUAAGCACCGGCUAACUUCGUG